UCAACUUUCUUCCCAAAUGCAAACACCUGUCUCUCUCUCUCACACACACACACACACACACACACACACACACACACACACACACACACACACACACACACACACACACACACACACACACACACACACACACACUUUUUCAGAGGUGGUACCUAAUUUCUAAUGUUUUCUUCUUGAAAUAUAGUUAGAUCGGAAGUUCACAUUCCAUGGGGAUUUUUUUCUCAAAACAUGAGAGUGAUGAGACAGAUGUGAAUCAAAAUGGUUAUUCGUCGUCACCUUGUCGCGGAAAGAGACAGCGGGACGACAUGGCGCUAUACAGAGUUGCAUUGAAGGGCGAUUGGAAUGCUGCUCGAGAGCUUUUGAUCAAAAUUGAAAACUUGAUCAAAACCCCUAUAACAGAGGGAGGUGAAAUCGCACUGCACAUAGCUGCCGUCGAGGGCCAUGAAUAUUUCCUCAAAAAUUUAUUGCAAAUGAUGGAAACAGAAGACGUGGCAGCUCAGAACCUGAAAGGGUGCACUGCACUAUGCUUUGCUGCAGCAGCUGGCCACUCUGAAAUUGCUAAACUGAUGUUGGAAAGAGAUCGAAAUUUAGCAAAUAUUAAGGGUGAAAAUGGGGUUUGGCCACUAUAUAUGAAAGUAUGAUUCACAUUUAUUAUAAAUAUGAAAGUAUGAUUCACAUUUCACUAACCUUUUCAGCCCACUUUCUAUUACAUUCAUAAAAUCCAUGUUGGAUCAAAGUGUAACAACAAACUUUGCGGGACAGUGGUAGUAUUAUAUUCUUCGAUGAUUGACAUAUGGCAAUAGAUUACACAAAUUGUAUGAUCUUGAAAGACGAUCAUAGGCAGUUCCUUUUUCUAAUAUAUAUUGUAUAAUGUGUGUGUCAAUUAGAUGUGGCUGUAAAGCUUGUGCGCGAAGACAAAAUCUUAGCUGUGACUAGAGACAUCAAUGGCGAAACACCGUUACAAGUGCUUGCUCGUAAUCCAUUAGCAUUAUCAUGUGACAAAAGCCAAGGACUUUGGGACAAGAUUAUAACAAAUGUACGGAGCUACACGAAGAUGUCAAAGACCGACGACAUUAAUAAGUGUGAUGCCUCUGAAUUAUUUGCUUGCUUGUGGGAUGCACUUACAUAUGAACGAGAUGAUAUUGAGGCAGCAAUAAAUACUGAAGGAGACGGAGUUACUGAUUCAACACAUGCUGAAGCAGCGGCUUGAUACGAACCUCUAUUAGUUUAGAUAUUAUAGGGAUUUAGCAUAUCUUUUUCUAUAUCUUUGUUUUCUUGUUCAUUAAGUCAGUAGCAUUAUAAAUAGGAUAGAC